GCGCGUGAGUGAAGAAGGCCUUUGGGUUGUAAAGCUCUUUUGUAGGGGAAGAUAAUGACUGUACCCUAAGAAUAAGGUCCGGCUAACUUCGUGCCAGCAGCCGCGGUAAUGCGAAGGGACCUAGCGUAGUUCGGAAUUACUGGGCGUAAAGCGCGCGUAGGCCGUUGAGUUAGUUAAUUGUGAAAUCCCAAAGCUUAACUUUGGAACUGCAAUUAAAACUGCUCGACUAGAGUUUGAUAGAGGAAAGCGGAAUACAUAGUGUAGAGGUGAAAUUCGUAGAUAUUAUGUAGAACACCAGUUGCGAAGGCGGCUUUCUGGGUCAACACUGACGCUGAGGCGCGAAAGUAUGGGUAGCAAAGAGGAUUAGAUACCCUCGUAGUCCAUACCAUAAACGAUGAUUGCUAGAUGUUGGAAAUUUAUUUUCAGUAUCGCAGCUAACGCAUUAAGCAAUCCGCCUGGGGAGUACGACCGCAAGGUUAGAACUCAAAUGAAUUGACGGGGACCCGCACAAGCGGUGGAGCAUGUGGUUUAAUUCGAAGAUACGCGCAGAACCUUACCAACCCUUGACAUGUCUGUCGCGAGUUUAGGAAACUAGACUUUUCGGUUCGGCCGGACAGAACACAGGUGCUGCAUGGCUGUCGUCAGCUCGUGUCGUGAGAUGUUGGGUUUAGGUCCGCGAAGAGCGCAACCUUA
rnacentral:rRNA from 1 species